UUAAAAAACUACUAUAAGUCGCUCUGGAUAAGAGCGUCUGCUAAAUGACUAAAA
rfam:Salmo salar isolate Sally breed double haploid chromosome ssa05, whole genome shotgun sequence.